rnacentral:rRNA from 1 species
CAGUCGCCACGGGAAUACGAAGGGGGCUAGCGUUGCUCGGAAUGACUGGGCGUAAAGGGCGCGUAGGCGGAUUGCGCAGUCAGAUGUGAAAUUCCUGGGCUUAACCUGGGGGCUGCAUUUGAGACGCGUAGUCUAGAGUGUGAAAGAGGGUCGUGGAAUUCCCAGUGUAGAGGUGAAAUUCGUAGAUAUUGGGAAGAACACCGGUGGCGAAGGCGGCGACCUGGUUCAUAACUGACGCUGAGGCGCGAAAGCGUGGGGAGCAAACAGGAUUAGAUACCCGCGUAGUCCCGUCUCUUAUACC